rnacentral:SRP_RNA from 1 species
GCUGGGCAUGGUAGUGUGUGCCUGUAAUCCUAGCUACUUAGGAGGCUGAGGUGGGGGGAUUGCUUGAGUCCAGGAGUUCAAAGCUUCAGUGAGCUAUGAUGACACCAUCGCGCUCAGCCUGGACUACACAGUAAGACCGUGUCUCUA